UGUUCUAAGCCACUAUUCAUUAUUUUUAUAAUUUUUUUGGGCUAAGAACACCCUUGGUGUUCUCCCAUUAAUGAUGGCCUUAGAGAGGGUUUGGGUUACUUAGGCCAUCUUUAUAGGCAUAACUAUGAGGAUGUUCUUGGGCUUUUUUUAUUUGGAAAAAAUUAGAAAGUGGGCUUAGAUCAUUAAAACUGAUCUUAUUUGAGAACUGUUUUUUGUGUUGUUCUUGUGUGACGUGUUCAAUUUUAAUUGGAAAGAUAUUUUUGGUCGUCGAGAGAUUACUUUCGUUUCAUCUCUUCGGUAUUGUCGACCUAGGGUCGUUUUUGUUCUCUCCCAAACGGCGAAACGGCGAUUUCCUAGGCGAUCUCCUCUUGUAAGCCCACUAUCUCCGCUGUCUCCUCUGUCUCCUCGGCGAUCUCCUCGUCUCCUCUGUCUCCGUCAUAUCACCAAGCUCCUCGUCUCCACUGUCUCCGCUGUCUUGCCAAGCUCCUCUGCAAGAGAUCUCCUCGUCUCCUCUGUCUCGGCUGGCUCGCAAAUCUCAUCUCUGGCGAACAAAGGCAAAGGUAAUCUCAUCUCCUUGGUUUCAUCGAUGUUUCAUCGAUUUAGGGUAUUGAAAUCUUUGAAUUAGGUUUGGAUUUAGUAUAAUAUAAUAGGGUUUCGUCUCAUCUUUCAAAGUUUUUGAUUAACAUAGGGUAUUGAAAUCUUUGAAUUAGGUUUGGAUUAACCUUGUGAGUCAAUUUCGAUUAUGUUUGAGUCAAUUUGCAGUGAUGAGCAUUAAUCGAUUUUGCUUGUUUGUUUAUGAGGCUUGUAGGUGAGGUUAUACAUGGGAAAUUAAAUCGGAUAUCCAUCAUCAAACCUGCAUCAUCAAACGAUAGUAAUCACAAGGUUGAACAAGUCCUGGAUGCUUUAUACGACUAUGGGAUGUUACUGAGUCAGAAAGCAUUGUGUCACGAUAUAGUAUUUGGAAACUUUUAUAUAUGUGUUUCGGUAUGUUGUUUGUUGUGGAUCGGUAUGUUGUGUGUUUUGGAUUGUAGUUUUAAAGACUGAGUAACAUGUUUUUGGAAUUUGGUGUUUGGAAGACAAAGUCACAUGUAUUUGUUUUCUUUGUUUGGACA